ensembl:lncRNA LINC02175 long intergenic non-protein coding RNA 2175
CCCGGAAGGCGAGUGCCGGAGGGGGCGGGACAGCUCCUCCGGGGCCAGCGGGCACCAGGCUUGGGGGCUGAGGCCCAGCGGCCCGAGACCAACUGGGCUGACCGAGGCCGCCUCCCCGCCAGCCCUGGGGUCCACUGCCCGGGGAGCAGCUCCCUUCCCAGGUCAGACUCGGGCUUCAUCCUCUCUUGCCGCGCGCCGAGCGGUUUUCAACUCUCACUGCUAGAAUUCCUCCAACCACCCAGGAUAGCAGGACCGAGAUACAUGGCCACCCAUGACCCGGAGCGUCCACUUCCAGGGACAGGCAGUGGUGAUUGGCUUCGGUUGUCAUCUGUGCCAUCUGUCCAUGGUUCGAGAAGCUGCUGUUCACGUUUUGGGGAGGAUCAUGGUUUGAGGGCUCCCGUGGUAGAAUUUGGGGAGCUCUCAUAGGCAGAAGGCUGAGAAAAGUUGGUGCUGUGGGAAGUCAACUGGCAGCCGAUGGAGUCGGGACCCGGGAGGAAUGGAAAGGGAACCCAGAUAGGAAGCUACUGCAGUAGGCUCAGAGAGGUGAUGACGGCAGGGCUAAGACAGCGGCCUUGGGCGGUGACUGGGAAGAACGUUGAACACCGUGUUUGGGCUGAAGAAAAGAGCAAGGGAAGAGGUGAGGAACUUCAGUUACAGGGCUUUGACUCCUGAGUCUGAAAAAGGCACAGAUUCCUGCUAAAUCUUGAACACUGACGCCAGUCAAAGCCUCAUCUUCAGACCUGGGAGAAGCGGCUUACAGUCAACUACAGUCCAAAAUUUGCUCCUUGGAAGACUCCUGAAUGCAGGUUUCUGAUGAUGUCAGAAAGACUGUGCUGUUGGAUUAGACAGAAAACUUCUAGGACUCUAAUUAAAAGGCUGAUGUGGUCAUAAAGAUUGCUAACCCAGUAUGAAGCAAAACAAGAGUUAAUUGCAUGGACUGAGCUAAUAGAGGACUGAACUGAUUCUUUUGUGGCUUUUUUGGUUUGAAACAUUGCUGAUUCUUUUUGUUGUUCAGUGUCAAAUUUUUUUUCUCUUGAGCUAUUUGUAGCCCUUAACAAUUGAGUAUACUCUUGUAAAUAAAAUUUAAAGCA